GGGAUAGAACGGAUCGAGGCGAGGAGAGACAAGAUGGCGGCUGUUCCGGAGAGGAGGAGACUGAGAAGCAGCAGGCGAGGCGGCGUGUGCCCUGUUUAUAGUAGCACUGCAGUAGCACCGAGACCCUUCGGCACAAAUGAGUGAGAGCGGAUGGUGCCCUGCUGCACUGCACCAAGUGCUGACUGGGCCACGGAAACUGGUAUGCAGGCAGCUUUAAGAGGUAAUGGGAUAUGUCACACCAAUGGUAAACUGAGACUAAGGAUCAGCCCUUGAAGCGGCACUGUACUUGAAGUGGUACUGUGAGGAAGCCACAGUACUGAAAGCCAUCAGUGCUUGACUGCACAAGACCAUGCCUCUCACAGAAGGCAAAUGAUGUUUUAUUUCAAAAGCUUUAUGAAAUGUAAAUUCAGUUACAUCCUUUCGAGUUUCUUCUUUGCAGGGCAACAAUAAAACAAUGAUGGACUUUUCUUAGAACUGUUGUUUGAAUAACUGGGGAGAGGGCAAGCUAAGGUUCCUACUAAUGUAUGUUCAGGAUGUACUGCUCUCCCUUGAAACCAAAAUUUGUUCUUUGAUCUGCUCUGAAGACUACAGAAGUCAAAGUGGUGGAUGGGGCAAAAAGCUUUUUUUCAGCUAGAAAUAAAUAGAUAACUUCUGAAAACAUGAAGCUGUCAAUAUAAAGGAAUGCAACAGCAAAGUAAGCCAAAAAUUCCAUACCUGUUACUAAAAAAAAAAAACAACCAAC